UACGGAACCGUCCAGAAGGCUGCUUAAUGUACGGCCUAACAAUGCAUCGGCUCCUUCAGACAUGAGCCAAAAGUGCUGUUCCAGUCAGCACCAGCCCACAAAACAUGGAUGAAGGAGAAUCGGGCACUGUGAAGAUAAACACAGAAGUCUGCCCCACCCAGCCUCCUCUUCAACCAAACCAACAAUGGUUCUCCUGGCGAAGGACGAGGUCACCCACCUCGGCUCGUCCGCUGCUGUGGCUUUCCCGUCUGGGCGCCUGUGGCAAUGCUUAAGACGCGGAAGAUACCUGCUUGUAAUUCCUUGCCCGGUUCAUGCAACCCAGAAGAAUGUGAAGAUUUCUUUCUUUUCUUACCAUGAGGCUCCUAAUCUAAGGGCAAGCAUAAAGACAGCUGAAACUGUUUUUAAGUACAUGGCCCACAGUGUGAAGGUACACUCUGCGGUAAGCUGUGAAAUGGGCAGAAAUGUCACAGAAGAAGACUCUGUGGGGAAGUGAAAUCUAUGUUGAAGAGGCUAAGGCUUCCUGUCAUGACUUCUGGGCAUCCUAUUUGAAACAGCAGGACCUUCUGACCUGGAAAGUUGCGGAGACCUUUUGGACAGCUGAACUGUAGAUAAAAAUCUUCCAGGGAAGUAGGUGUGGGCAGGAUGUGUGUUUCCCUGCCUCUCAUCUGAAGGCUGAUUCAGUUAAUAUUUCAUAAGUGAUUUCUUACAGUAAAAGUUGCAUUCCAGAGUGUUUUAAAAGAAAUUCAAAAAGAAAAGCUAGCUACUGAUUUGCAGUUCAAGUUGAGACUAGAGCACUCUCUUUAUGAAUGGCAUAGACAUGCAUAGUAGGGAAACUUCCCUACUGUAAUCUCAAACCAGCCCCUCGGCUGUAGGACCUUGAGGGCUCAAAUUAGCCAAUAACACACAGCAGAGAAGCACUUGUUUACUAAAUAACCUAGAACUGAGCAGGAAGAUGAGAUAACAUGUGUCUCAUCCUGGCUCUGAAUGUCUGUACAGCAGCCCAAACCUGGCAAAAAUAUUUUUAAACUUUUAGUGAUAUAAUACACAUAGAUUCCUUCCCUG
rnacentral:lncRNA from 1 species